GUCACUAAAAUGAGGAAGCAUAUGUUCAUUCUCCUUGUAAAUUCUUCCUCUGUCUGGAAUGUGGAUGUGAUUCCAGAACUGGAACAGCCAGCCAUCUUGGGCAUCAGUCUUAAGAGAUUGAAGCCUCAUCUUGAAGUUACUGGAAAAAUAUCCAAGGACUUUGGGUACCUGAUUAUAUGGAGCUUCUAAAUCAGUAUCAGACUGCCUUCCUUUAUAUAAGAGAGAAAGAACCUGUCCUGUAUAAGAAAUCUAUUGGGUUUUCUGUCAUUGGCAACCUAAUCUAAUUCAAGCCUAAAAAUAUAGACAAAAUGAAAGCCAAAUUUUAAGUUCACUUAUUUUCUUAAUAAGUUUGUUCUCAAUUUACACAUGCCUAGUCUUUUUAUAUCUCUUUUUGAUCAUAUUCCCACUGUGGACUUCUGGAUUCCUGUAGACAUUACCUUUGAUUCGUUUCCAUGGUGCUAAAGGAGGGAGACAGAAGGGGUGAAAAGAGGAUAUACAGAUUUCACUACAAGGUGCAAGAGAAAAUCAUACUGGAAAGGACAGCACAGCUGGCAUAAGAGUGGCAGUAGCAGGAUUCCAAACAUGUUAGACAACAGCACUUCAUCUGGGAGAAACUUAAAAGCUUCACAAGUGUACAACUGCUCAGAGAUAGAGGCAACACAGCCCCAGAAGAGGAAGAAAAAUUACAGGAAAUCCUGACCUACGUUUGUCCAAAAUCAUCAAACAAUCUGGGUAACUGGUAUUCACUCAUAUGAUAGCUUUUAAGUUGUCAGCAAUUCUUGGCAAAUAUAAGAAUAGAAAGUAACUUUAGCAACUCUGAGCUCUAAAAGGCUUAGUUUUCUCAUGGGUCUCUUGUCCUUAGU